ACGCUGGGGAAGCGAGUCCGCCUCCCUCAGGCGCCGAGAACUACAACUCCCAUCAGGUGCCGGGCCAGGCAGUCGUCGCCACAGCGUGAAAAAAAAAACCGUCAACUGAGGAGACGGAGAGAGGGGGAAAAGUCAAGGUCCGCGCCUUCUUAACGUAGCGUCACCUAGAGGCCACAAGUGGAAUUACGGGCGCAAUUACGCAUUCAAAGCCGCUCCUCCGCUCACACUAUGACGUUUAUUCCGGUUUUCUAACGGCUCAGUUCAGGGAGAGACGCACGCUGGGCGUUGUUGUAGUGGGCCGGUGUACAAAACACCCUUAAGUUGAAGAGUUGCCAGAUGUUUGAACUGAAAUUUCCGUUAUCCUCUUCAUUUCGUUCCCAUGGAGAGAAGCAUCCCAUACUCCCGGUCAUUGAGAUGCGGACACUCAUAAGGCACAGGGAUUGCGAUCGGCACACACCAAGAACAUUAAUGACAAGAGCUGGAUGCAGAACUCGGAAACUCUGGGUUCUUUUUUCAAAACCAAAUGCUGUACUGAGAGGCAUCUGAGAAACCACUGCUACAAGAAAGGAACAGGCAACAGCAUGGAGGAAAAGAAAACAGCUAAUUAAUAACCCCAGAGAAAUUUCUUGCAAGGCUCCAGUUUUACUGUUGAAUCCAUUUCCCAUUUUCAAAAGUGGAGGAUCUCCAAUCCUUGGAUUCUAUGUAACUCUCAAGACACUUUUACUAUGUUUGUUAGACUCAAAUAUCUAUUACACUCAAAAGGAACCUGCA